GCAGGGAUGGCGGAGCCUGGUCAAACGCGCAAGGCUUAGGACCUUGUGCCUUAGGGCUGCGGGAGUUCAAAUCUCCCUCCCUGCA
rnacentral:tRNA from 1 species